GUAGGUGGCAAGCGUUGUCCGGAAUUAUUGGGCGUAAAGCGCGCGCAGGCGGUUUUUAAGUCUGAUGUGAAAGCCCACGGGCUCAACCGUGGAGGGUCAUUGGAAACUGGAGAACUUGAGUACAGAAGAGGAAAGCGGAAUUCCACGCGUAGCGGUGAAAUGCGUAGAGAUGUGGAGGAACACCAGUGGCGAAGGCGGCUUUCUGGUCUGUAACUGACGCUGAGGCGCGAAAGCGUGGGGAGCAAACAGGAUUAGAUACCCUGGUAGUCCACGCCGUAAACGAUGAGUGCUAAGUGUUAGGGGGUUUCCGCCCCUUAGUGCUGCAGCUAACGCAUUAAGCACUCCGCCUGGGGAGUACGGCCGCAAAGGCUG
rnacentral:rRNA from 1 species